GUUUUUCUAGGUUAAGCCAAGACCCAGAUGAGCCACUGACUACAGGGGCAGAGGUCCUGAAUCUAACAUUGGAUGUAAUGGCUGGAGCUGCAGCAGCCAUAGCAGGCCAGGAAAAUACCACCUCAUAGGGCAUGACAGAAUGGAUAGCUGAAAGGAGCCUGGGUCUGUGACAACUUUAUGGAGUCACCAUUUCAGAGCCUGUCUUGGAUCUACUUCUAUAUGAGCUUUCAGAGUGCUAGAUGAUGGAUAUGCAAACAGAAACCUACCACAGUCCUUGGACACCCAAGAAUUCAUGGCCUCGUGGGAAGAUAGUUCAAGCCUAGACUGCAGUGCAAUAUGGUGCUUGCUUUCUAGAAGUAUGACAUUUGGGCUGCAGAGGCAUCAGCUCUGCCUGGGGGAAAAGAGAGAAUGUGUAGGAGUCUGCAGCUGGUCAAGGGGCUGAAUUUACUCCACCCCAUGCCCUGGAAUGAGUCUGUUACCUGUGUGUGGUUACCACCCCUGGCUGCAAGGAUUGCUGAGAGUGUACACACAGUCGGUGCUUAAUCAGUGCCAGAGGACCAGGCUUAACUGGCCCAAAGAUCCUGUGCUGGCAUUCUGCUGCCCUGCAUUUGAAGAGAUCUGGUGGAGGUCCAACAAGGAGGCAGUAUGGCUCAAGUCUGGAUGGCCAUCAUCUUCCGGCCUGAGCACCUUUUCCUUCCAUCUCACCUCCCUGGCAGACCUACAUCCUGGAUGAACACAGUCCACUUUUACUUGAAGACCACCAGUCCCCACCCCCAGGGCCUGAGCACACUUGAGAAAGAUUCACAUCCAUGCAGACUGGUGCCACUUACACAUCCACGGGUUUCAGAUUCUGCCAGACCCUCAAGGUUGCCUUGUAAUCUUUCCAUUUCCCUAAGAAUGAAUGGAGACUUGGCUGUGUCUCCAUAGUUUUGGAAAUCCAGCUAUUUCUCAGCAUUUGGAGUGUGAAAUUAGGCAGAUGGAACAUCCAGAUUACGGACUACACUGCAUCUGGAAACCGUGGCAUCAAACAGACAUUUGGGGCUGGUUGCUAUACAGCGUGUGGUCAAAGAAGGCAUUAAUUCCAGUCCAUUCUUGAUCCCUAAAUGCAGCCCAGCAAACCAGGAAAGAGCAUGAACCCUGGGGACUUUCGCCUCAAAUCCCACCCCCUCCUCUUACUCUGUGUGAUCUUAAAUGUAGACUUAAGAUUUGGGCUUUCUAACCCAUAAAAUGGGCAUAAAAUACCUCCAAGAAAUGUUUAAAGGAUUCAGAGAAAUAAACCACAGAGACACA